AACAACAACAAGAAAAGGCUGGAGAAAACAGCGGUAAGAGCACUAUGAGAUAAAUAUGAAGACUAAAUAUACAGUUAACAACAACAACAACAAGAAAAGGCUGGAGAAAACAGAGGUCCUGCUGGUCAUUGAGAGAAAAGGUGUGCACACAGGUUGGGCAAUAAGAGAAUCAAACAGUUCUCCACCAGCCAUUAACACCAGGGUUUGAAGGUGAAGAAGCUGGCAAAUUGAAAUGUCAACAGACGCAUAUAAAACCCUAACAAAAGCCUCUGUAGCCAAUAGAACAAGAAAGGAGUAGACUAGCAAGGCAGAAAACUUUUGGAAAAUAACUCUUCUGCUAUAUUCAAUCUGGGAAAAA
rnacentral:lncRNA from 1 species